GUGACCUACGGGAGGCAGCAGUAGGGAAUAUUGCUCAAUGGGGGAAACCCUGAUGCAGCGACGCCGCGUGAGUGAAGAAGUAAUUCGUUAUGUAAAGCUCUAUCAGCAGGGAAGAAAAUGACGGUACCCGAGUAAGAAGCCCCGGCUAACUACGUGCCAGCAGCCGCGGUAAUACGUAGGGGGCAAGCGUUAUCCGGAUUUACUGGGUGUAAAGGGAGCGUAGACGGCAGUGCAAGUCUGGAGUGAAAGGCGGGGGGUCAACCCCC
rnacentral:rRNA from 1 species